GUCUUGGGUGGCUCAGCGGUAGAGCACUCACCUAGUGCUUGUGAGGUGCUGGGUUUGAUCCUCAGCACGACU
rnacentral:tRNA from 1 species